rnacentral:tRNA from 6 species
UGGGACCGUAGUUCAACCGGUUAGAGCACCGCCCUGUCACGGCGGAAGUUGCGGGUUCGAAUCCCGUCGGUCCCGU